AUUGAACGCUGGCGGCAGGCCUAACACAUGCAAGUCGAACGGUAACAGAAAGCAGCUUGCUGCUUUGCUGACGAGUGGCGGACGGGUGAGUAAUGUCUGGGAAACUGCCUGAUGGAGGGGGAUAACUACUGGAAACGGUAGCUAAUACCGCAUAACGUCGCAAGACCAAAGGGGGGGACCUUCGGGCCUCUUGCCAUCGGAUGUGCCCAGAUGGGAUUAGCUAGUAGGUGGGGUAACGGCUCACCUAGGCGACGAUCCCUAGCUGGUCUGAGAGGAUGACCAGCCACACUGGAACUGAGACACGGUCCAGACUCCUACGGGAGGCAGCAGUGGGGAAUAUUGCACAAUGGGCGCAAGCCUGAUGCAGCCAUGCCGCGUGUAUGAAGAAGGCCUUCGGGUUGUAAAGUACUUUCAGCGGGGAGGAAGGGAGUAAAGUUAAUACCUUUGCUCAUUGACGUUACCCGCAGAAGAAGCACCGGCUAACUCCGUG
rnacentral:rRNA from 1 species